rnacentral:lncRNA from 1 species
ACCUACUAACUAAGAAGGCAACCAAUCCUAUCUAGCAAUUCCUCCUCCUCCUGUUGAGACAAAGGUGUUGGCGGACAAAGAUAGGAUGUUAGCCGAACUUGGCAAUCGUAAUGCCUUGGGAGGCAUCACUUCAACAUGUAACAGUAUGGAACAACUUCAGUAUAUUUUAACCCCCGUCCUCAGACCCUUGGACCACGAACCUGAAUCCCAGUUUCGAUCUCUGAACCCUGAAUUCUAACCCCCGACACCUGAUCCUUAUGCCCGGCCGCCACCGCCCAACCCGAUCAACCUCGAUCUCGGAUCCAGACACUGGACACCUAACCUAGACCCUUAGACCCCGAACCGAAAUCCGACCUCCGACCCCUAACACGAAUCACAACCUUGGACUCCUGAAUCAUAACCCCGACCCCUAAUCCUUAUGCCUCACCGCCCCCUUCCGCAACUAAAUAAGUAAGAAAACCACUUAUUUUUUCACAAAAAAUUUCUAGAAAAACAUUUUUUGUGGAAAACAUUUUUAGUGAAACAUAUUUUCCUUUCCCAUCAAACACGCCCAUCUAUCUAACCCUAAUUAUACUUAUUUUUUGUGUCACGUAAAAAUUGUGAAUCAUAGCUAAACCCGUCACUGUCUUAGAAAUCUAAUCCAUACAAAACCACAAACCAAAAUCAUACAUAAAUAUGCAAAAAAAUAGAUAAAUUCCUACAAAUCUAAUCCAGACACUACAAAAUCAGAGCAUACAUGACUAUGCAAAAAUAGUUAAUAGGAAGGAAGAAUUGAGGAGCGGGAAGUGGAACAAACCUUAAGGCGCUUUCGAGCGAGUAAUCGAUCUACAUGAUGGAAUAGAAACAGAGUAAGGAUUCCUGAUGGGGAAUUUAGCGUGAAAAGAAAGGCCGUCGAAACCGACCUUCUUAAGAUCCACAUAGGUGAUGCUCUUCGAAAUUUCUCCGCCACAUAACUCUCAUAAUCAAGUAAUAUUGAUAUAGAAAAGCAGAAGGGAAUAACG